CCAUCUAUACUCCCUUCGUCUGCGGAUGCGCCUUCCGCGGCACGUCGCCGGGGACGGCGGCGCCGGCCGGCGACCACGGAGCUGUUGCCGCAGCUCCCGGAGUCCCCACCUGCUGCUCGUCCUCCGGCACCUGCGACGCCUCCCCGGGCACAGGUUGCGGGACGGACAUGCCCACGCCUGCCGUUCCCCGAACGAGGCGCCGCUCGCCGGCGAGCUCGCUAGCUACCGGCGCUCUGCGUUGCCUGGCUCGCCGUUCGCCGGACAGGUGCAUUGGGCGAUGGAAUUACAUGGGUGCCGUGGCCGGUGGAUAUUAUUGUGCAUGAUGCAAUGCAAUUUGGGAAGUGGCAUGUGAUUUGAUCUUCCAAGAAGUAAUGGCAAAGGACUGACUCAGAUAUAUCUGAAUUCUACUGCCACUACUCUGUUGCAAGUGUUGGUUCAUGUGAUUGAUUGCUCCCAUAUUCACCUGGGCCUAGGAGCUUGGCUGAUUUUUCACUCACAUCUCUUGUCUUAUUGGACGUUGUGGCGUUCGGCAUUUGUUUCCAACAGUUCAUUUCAAUCAUCUGAACAUCAAUGGAACUGUACACGCUACGCACACCGCACAGAUGCUGAAGCUGCCUGUACUAAGCAGUUUUGCUGAUUCAGUUUCAAGAUCCCCUGGUGAUGAAACAUUUGAUAUUCUAAUUAAACCAACACAUAUCCUUAAAAAAUAUAUAGUUCAUCCACGUGAUAAUGUACUAGUUAAUAUUAUAUUU